rnacentral:tRNA from 1 species
ACCUGGCUGGCUCAGCUAGGAAGAGCAUGUGACUCUUGAUCUCAAGAUCGCAGGUUCAAGCCCCGCAAAGGGUA